CCCUUAGAUGUCCUGGGCCGCACGCGCGCUACACUGAGUGUCUGAGAUAUGAGGCAUGCCUGGUCCGGCAAGGUCUAGGUAAUCACGAAAAGGCACAUCAUGCUUGGGAUUGAUUAUUGCAAAUUUUAAUCAUGAACGAGGAAUUCCUAGUAAGUGCAAGUCAACAGCUUGCGUUGAUUACGUCCCUGCCCUUUGUACACACCGCCCGUCGCUACUACCGAUUGAAUGGUUUAGUGAGAUCUCUGGAUUGACGCUGGCUAGGGGGCGACCCUUGGCCAGACUGCUCGAGAAACUGCUCAAACUUGAUCAUUUAGAGGAAGUAAAAGUCGUAACA
rnacentral:rRNA from 1 species